GGGGUUGUGGCUCAAUGGUAGAGCACUUGCCUAGCAUGUGUGAAGCACUGGGUUCAAUCCCA
rnacentral:tRNA from 1 species